GUGCAAAGAAUCUAGAAUAGGAAAGAAGCCGAUCGAAGUGCCAUCAAAUGUGACCCUCACGUUAGAGGAGCAGUUUAUUAAGGCUAAGGGUCCAUUAGGAGAAUUAUCACUAAACUAUCCAGGUGAAGUAAAAGUGGUGAAAGAAGAAUCUGGUAAGCUGAGAGUUUCCAAGACUGUGGAGACCAAAAGGGCAAACCAGAUGCAUGGCCUUUUCAGGACCCUGACUGACAACAUCA
rnacentral:misc_RNA from 1 species